UACGAAGGGUGCAAGCGUUAAUCGGAAUUACUGGGCGUAAAGCGCGCGUAGGUGGUUCAGUAAGUUGGAUGUGAAAUCCCCGGGCUCAACCUGGGAACUGCAUCCAAAACUGCUGAGCUAGAGUACGGUAGAGGGUGGUGGAAUUUCCUGUGUAGCGGCGAAAUGCGUAGAUAUAGGAAGGAACACCAGUGGCGAAGGCGACCACCUGGACUGAUACUGACACUGAGGUGCGAAAGCGUGGGGAGCAAACAGG
rnacentral:rRNA from 1 species